AUUUGAAGUUUCUCCGCGAACCCUAGAGGUUUCUCCUUCGGUUUGAAUUCAAGAAUCAUGGCAAGCGACAGAUUCAACAUCAAUUCUCAGCUAGAGCAUCUUCAAACUAAAUAUGUUGGAACAGGGCAUGCAGACUUAAAUAGAUUUGAAUGGGGUGUGAAUAUCCAACGCGACAGUUAUGCAUCAUACAUUGGCCACUACCCUAUCUUGGCCUAUUUUUCUGUUGCUGAAAAUGAAUCCAUUGGAAGACAACGCUACAA